CGGAAUCUGCCUAUUUGUGGGGGAUAACGUAGGGAAACUUACGCUAAUACCGCAUACGACCUACGGGUGAAAGCGGAGGACCUUCGGGCUUCGCGCAGAUAGAUGAGCCGAUGUCGGAUUAGCUAGUUGGCGGGGUAAAGGCCCACCAAGGCGACGAUCCGUAGCUGGUCUGAGAGGAUGAUCAGCCACACUGGAACUGAGACACGGUCCAGACUCCUACGGGAGGCAGCAGUGGGGAAUAUCGGACAAUGGGCGCAAGCCUGAUCCAGCCAUGCCGCGUGGGUGAAGAAGGCCUUCGGGUUGUAAAGCCCUUUUGUUGGGAAAGAAAAGCAGUCGGUUAAUACCCGAUUGUUCUGACGGUACCCAAAGAAUAAGCACCGGCUAACUUCGUGCCAGCAGCCGCGGUAAUACGAAGGGUGUAAGCGUUACUCGGAAUUACUGGGCGUAAAGCGUGCGUAGGUGGUUUGUUAAGUCUGAUGUGAAAGCCCUGGGCUCAACCUGGGAAUUGCAUUGGAUACUGGCAGGCUAGAGUGCGGUAGAGGGUAGUGGAAUUCCCGGU
rnacentral:rRNA from 1 species